AGAAUGAACGUUGGCGGCGUGGAUUAGGCAUGCAAGUCGAACGGAUUUGGUAGCAAUACCAGGUCAGUGGCGUAAGGGUGAGUAAGGCGACGGCAACCAACCCCAUGGUUGGGCAUAGCCGCGGGAAACUGCGGGUAAUUCCCAGCGAUGUUUAGACCGGGCAUCCGGUUUAAACCAAAGUUCUGGCGCCGUGGGACGGGCCGUCGUGGUAUUAGGUAGUUGGCGGGGUAAUGGCCCACCAAGCCUCUGAUGCCUACCGGGCGUGCGAGCGUGGCCCGGCACACUGGGACUGAGACACUGCCCAGACUCCUACGGGAGGCUGCAGUCGAGAAUCUUCGGCAAUGGGCGCAAGCCUGACCGAGCGACGCCGCGUGGAGGAUGAAGGCCCUUCGGGUUGUAAACUCCUGUCGAGGGGGAGGAAGGGGUAACCUUGACCUAGUCCCUGGAGGAAGCACGGGCUAAGUUCGCGCCAGCAGCCGC
rnacentral:rRNA from 1 species